UUGCCUUUUGUCUCUGGCACGUUCUUCACAAUGAAUAGAAUAGCCAGGGCUUUCCUUUUGUCUCUGUGUAUUUGGCUGCAAUCGAUAAGUUUGAUGCCAUGUGAUCCAAAAGCAACACUUAUGCUCUAGAAGGUUAGACGCUGCUCUGUUUUUUAGCCAGAAUUUUCCUACCAAGUUUUAUCAUGAAUACUUCAUUUCCUACAUCUGGUCCUUGAUGUUCGUUAUGUAUGGUUACCAGUGAGUAAAGUUUGACAGGUGUUAUCACCGAGAGACAGGUGUUAUCACCGAGAGAGGGUAAGUUGGCAUGGGAAGAAGAAGAACAUGAAGAAUAUGAAGAAGAAGAAGAAUAUGAAGAAUGUGAAGAAGAAGAAGAAGAAGAAGAAUAAGAAGAAUAUGAAGAAGAAUAAGAAGGAGAAGAAUUUUGUCUUUAUAUCUUGUAAUGACCUUGUACAUCUUGUAAUGACCAUUAAUGAAGAUAUUAUUUCUCUCAACU
rnacentral:lncRNA from 1 species